rnacentral:rRNA from 1 species
CACACCGCCGGCCCCGAAAUACAGUGGCGGCCCGUCCGCGGCGACCUCUGCGUAGUACUCCAACGCGCACCGGGAACCCGACGCGGCCACGCCGUAAAACACCCCACUUCUGAACGUUGACCUCGGAUCAGGUAGGACU